rnacentral:lncRNA from 1 species
CACAGAGGAGAUGGAGCAUAAAAUUGGGCGGACUGACUCAGAGGUUUGUUUUGAUUUUUAAAUCAUUUGUUAAAACUAAAAAUGAGUGUGCGUACGCGUGGAGAGGGGGAACAAGGCUUCUCUAAUCAGCAAAGGGGCUGUCGGCAGGCGAUGUACAAAUGAAAGCGCGCUUUCUAAAUUUCCAAAGCACUAAAGGGAGAGAAAUGCGCAAUUACUGUGGGAUUCGCCCAGAGGAGCAGCCUCAGGAGUUGAAGGGGAUCCUGUCCCUCCCAGAGGAAAGCUCACGAUUGGAUUGGAACUUCUAGCGACUGCCUGAGGCUCCUCUGCAACAUCAGGCAACCAAGGCCUGCGCUCUCCUUUUCCUGAGGAGACUCCCUGGAACCUUCAAGAACCCCCCGACAGCCACCAGGAUACCCGGUCUGAAUGGUUUCCUACCAAGAAAGACCCCGAAGACCUGCAGUUCUGUCCAGAAACGAGUUUUUAGGGUCACUUGAAUUUGAGCUGCUGCGAGGGCGGUGCUUUAGGGAGCAGAGUUCAAAGAGGAAUUCCUCAGGACCCUAGGCCAGGUCCGCGUUAAAGGGCGCCUUACAAACCUCCUCUCCCCACACUCCCCCGCAGCCCCUUCCCCAACGUUUAAGGCACCGGAUCUUGAGAAGCAAAUCUAGUGCCCAGCUUCAAAUCCCCGCCUUGGAAAAGUACAAAGAGAAAACUGAUUUUUCAAAUCCCAAAGCCCUUUCCUUUUAAGCAACUUGGAAAAACUCAGCUAUAAACGCUUUCUCCUCUUAUGCUAAAAUUGAAAACUUAUAGAUUUUAGAUGGAAUGAAGAGAAGAUAUAUUCCUUUUCCCUUUAAAUAGCCACAUUUCAAAUUGUGCCAGGCAGCAAUUUCUGCGAAAAAGGAGUGGCGGUUGGGAUUGUUUGGGAGAUGGAGUUUUAUUUGUUCCCAUUUAUUUUGUUUUAUUUUUGUUUUAUUUUUUUCUUUGAGUUUCUUUGUUAUUUUGAGAUUCAUCUAAGAGACUCAGAAUUCCACUCUGAAUAAAGCACUUUUUGUUGUUUCAAAAUUUCAAACUGACAUAAGUGUUGGAUCAUCAGUUUUCCCUUUGUCUGCCCUAGUUGUAAA